UACGGAGGGUGCAAGCGUUGUCCGGAAUCACUGGGCGUAAAGGGCGCGUAGGCGGCCUGGUAAGUAGGGGGUGAAAUCCUGCGGCUUAACCGCAGGGCUGCCUUCUAAACUGUCAGGCUUGAGCACGGUAGAGGCAGAUGGAAUUCCCGGUGUAGCGGUGGAAUGCGUAGAUAUCGAGAGGAACAUCGGUGGCGAAGGCGGCCUUCUGGACGGUGACUGACGCUGAGAUGCGAAAGCGUGGGGAGCAAACAGG
rnacentral:rRNA from 1 species